GCGUUGUCCGGAAUUAUUGGGCGUAAAGAGCUCGUAGGCGGUGUGUCGCGUCGGCCGUGAAAACCUGCAGCUUAACUGUGGGCUUGCGGUCGAUACGGGCAUCACUGGAGUUCGGCAGGGGAGACUGGAAUUCCUGGUGUAGCGGUGAAAUGCGCAGAUAUCAGGAGGAACACCGGUGGCGAAGGCGGGUCUCUGGGCCGAUACUGACGCUGAGGAGCGAAAGCGUGGGGAGCGAACAGG
rnacentral:rRNA from 1 species